rnacentral:rRNA from 1 species
UACAGAGGGUGCAAACGUUGCUCGGAGUUACUGGGCGUAAAGCGCGUGUAGGCGGUGCCGCACGUCCGGUGUGAAAGCCCAGGGCUCAACCCUGGAAGUGCACUGGAUACGACGGCGCUGGAGUCCUGAAGAGGAGGGCGGAAUUCCCGGUGUAGAGGUGAAAUUCGUAGAUAUCGGGAGGAACACCAGUGGCGAAGGCGGCUCUCUGGACAGGUACUGACGCUGAGACGCGAAAGCGUGGGUAGCAAACAGGA